GUACAUGUAAAUUUUAGUAUGCUAUUGUCUUGAUUUUAAUAGUCAAUGGGUUUUUAUUCGCAGUACUUGGUUUUAAAUAUUUAUUAAUAUAAGAUUUAGUAAUAGAUAAUAACUUUGACCAAACUUGUGCCAGCAGUUGCGGUUAGACAAGUAAAGUAUUUAAAAUUUUUCGGUAAGUAGUUAAGAUGUUUAAUGUAAAGGAUAAAAUUAAGGUAUUUAGGUGAAAUUAAAACUUUAAAGAUUUCUUUUAAUUUAUUAUUUGAGGCUGACGAAAUUUUUAUUUAGACUAGGAUUAGAUACCCUAUUAUUUUAAACGUAAAAUUUUUGUACCCGGUUAUUAUUAGUUAUGAUCUUGAAAACAAAAGAUUUUGGCGGUAUUUUAGUCUUUUCAGAGGAACCUGUCCUGUAAUUGAUAGUCCACGUUGAGUUCUGCUUUUUUUAUAAGUUUGUAUAUCGUUGUAGUCGAGUGUUUUAUAAGAAUUUAAAUGCUCAAAAUUUUUUAUUAGAAAAAAAAUCAAAUCAAGAUGCAGCUGAUAAAAAAGAAGAGAUGGGUUACAAUAAAUUUAUUUAAGACAGUAUGAGAAGAUAAUUCUUUUUAUUAAGGUGGAUUUGAUGGUAAUUUUAAUUAUUUAAUUAAAGUGAUUUAGCUCUAAAAUAUGUACAUAUCGCCCGUCGCUUUCACUUAAAGUGAAAUAAGUCGUAACAUAGUAGGCUUACUGGAAAGUGUGUCUGGAAAGGA
rnacentral:ncRNA from 1 species